UACGUAGGGUGCGAGCGUUAAUCGGAAUUACUGGGCGUAAAGCGUGCGCAGGCGGCGCGUUAAGACAGGUGUGAAAGCCCCGAGCUUAACUUGGGAAUUGCGCUUGUGACUGGCGUGCUGGAGUGUGGCAGAGGGAGGUGGAAUUCCACGUGUAGCAGUGAAAUGCGUAGAUAUCAGGAAGAACACCCGUGGCGAAAGCGGCUCUCUGGAACGGUACUGACGCUGAGACGCGAAAGCGUGGGGAGCGAACAGG
rnacentral:rRNA from 1 species